rnacentral:rRNA from 1 species
AUGGCCGCCAACAAGAUGCCGUUCGCCAUGCCGAUGGCCAGAGCGGAGCAGGAGGCCAAGGUGGAGAAGGUCAAGCCGGAGGAGGCGACGAUCAAGGCCAAUGUGGAGGUGGAGACCAUCACCACGGAGGAGGGGCUCAUCAAGUUCAUGGAGCUGCUGGAGAAGGAGGAGGCGUUCCUCAAGGCCAAGGCAGAGGCGGAGAAGGAGGCGGGGUGUGGGUCCAAGAGGAAGGUGGAGUUGGAGCGGGACGAGGAGGGGGCGGUGUUCGUAGCGCGGAUGGAGGCCCUGAGGCCGUUGUACGGGGAUGGGGACGUGUCGGACGGCUACGACUCGCAGGACGACGACCCGGACAGCACCUUCGGCAACGUCAUGGCGCAGUUGGAGCAGCAAAUCCAGACCAACAACGCUCGCUGGCCUUUCUUAAUUGGUGGGGGCCAAAUCCCCUGA